AUUGAACGCUGGCGGCAUGCCUAACACAUGCAAGUCGAACGGGGCAGCAAUGCCUAGUGGCGGACGGGUGAGUAACACGUGGGAACGUGCCUUUAGGUUCGGAAUAACUCAGGGAAACUUGUGCUAAUACCGAAUGUGCCCUUCGGGGGAAAGAUUUAUCGCCUUUAGAGCGGCCCGCGUCUGAUUAGCUAGUUGGUGAGGUAAAGGCUCACCAAGGCGACGAUCAGUAGCUGGUCUGAGAGGAUGAUCAGCCACAUUGGGACUGAGACACGGCCCAAACUCCUACGGGGGGCAGCAGUGGGGAAUCUUGCGCAAUGGGCGAAAGCCUGACGCAGCCAUGCCGCGUGAAUGAUGAAGGUCUUAGGAUUGUAAAAUUCUUUCACCGGGGACGAUAAUGACGGUACCUGGAGAAUAAGCUCCGGCUAACUCCGUGCCAGCCGCCGCAGUAAAAC
rnacentral:rRNA from 1 species